UGUGAGGUCCUGGCCACUCUGACCUCACAAUGUCCUGCGUCUAUAAGAGGCCCAGGGCUCGGCCCUGCCUCACAGCCCACGAAGUUCCACCUCCUCACAGGUUGGCUGGCUCAGCUGAGGUGGUGCCCCUGCUCUGAGCCAUGUGCGGGCCAAGUUCACCUCGAGCCAUGGCCAGAUACAGAUGUUGCCGCAGCCCAAGCCAGAGCAGAGGCUACCGUAGACGCAGCCACAGACCAAGGAGGCGAUGCCAUCCCAGACGGAGACAAAGGUGCGGCCGCCUUGGGUACACCCGGAGGGGCAGAAGACGCUAACUGCAGAAGAGCAAGGCCUCCGAACUCCUGCUGAAGACUUUGCCAGACCUCAAGACCGUCUUGCCACCUCUGACAAUGCCACCUUGCACUGAAACAGGAGCCUGCUAAGGAACAAUGCCGCCUGUCAAUAAAUGUCAAACUCAUCCCACUCAUGCCUUUGUCCUUGAUGGCUCGGGAGAGGGCUGGCCUGGAGGCGGAAGGGCUUGGUGAUGUGGCACAGUGGCACAGAAAGGAUGCUGGGAAGGGGGCCAUGAGAGUGACGGCUGUCACAGGGAUCCUGUCCAAAACUCAGUGACACGACAUGAGGAACAUCUGCUCCCAAACUGCCUACCUGUCCGACCCCUGGAGCUGGGUCAUCACCUUUGAGGGCCACUGUCCUUCCACCCUGUUCUGUGGCUGGCAGCUGGCAGCUGGCAAUGAGCCACAGGGGAAGAUGCUCUAAGCAUCAGAGGGCCAUCAGGGCUUCCUUACCCCAAGGGUAUCUGGGGGUCCUCAGAGCCGGUUAAACAGCUGCCAGUCCCCAAAGUGUCACACAAGUUCAAUUCAAAGCUGAAAUCUCAACAGUUCCUUUGGUUAUACAGGGAACAAGACAGUCACCAUUAGAAUCAUGAAUUCAAGGUUUUCCUUCAUUCAGCAGCCCUCAUUUGUGUCCCCAUUGGAGAGCAGUGGUAACUUGGCCAGGCAGCAGGGGAGCUGCCCUGCCCAUUCAGUCCUCAAGUGCCUGCAGGAGGUUAAGCAUUGUGCCCAUGACACAAACUCAUCAGAGCUGCCCGAACCAACUCCCUUCCCGCAGGACGCUGCACACCACGGAAGCAGAUGCAAGAAAUCCUACUAGGACUCCGGUCUAACGGGCCCAGUCCUGGCCUAGGAAGGCCCACGCUCAGGCUCAACACAAACCCUGUGUCACGGUCACUUCCCGGCACUGGAGCAAGCCAGGGGUCUCAUCAGUGAUCCCCCAGCGCCACAGGACCAGUUCCUAAAAGGGAUCAGGCCCAGCAACACCUGGGAACUCUGGCUUCUGCUCACGGGGAGAGCACCAGGCCCUCGGUCCUCCCCAGCCCCUCGAGGCAGGUGUCAGCACGCUGUGUCCCCAGGUGAGCGCCGGCCCCCACGGAGCCCUGAGCUAAACCUGGCUUCGCUUGGACUCUUGGGACCCCACACACUCCAGCAAGGCAAGGAGGAGGAAGACAGCAGGCCAGGGGACAGGCAGCCCCCCCAGGUGGACUUUUUGGGGAUUUGCUUUUCUUGUAUUUUGACCAUAUCGCUAGAUACGGAGAUGUGAACCUAGCUGAGCAUUCAUAUUUUUACCAAUUGCCUGAGGGGAGACUGAGCCCCUUAUAAAGUUUCUUUGUCCUGAAAGGGAGCAGCAUUUAAAUUCAGGAAAGGCAGGGUCACCCUUCACUCCUGCGAGGCCCCAGGACUAAGCCUGCUUCCUCUCCUGUGGCCACUUUGACAAAUCACCACACACUCCGAAGCUUAUACCAACACGAGCUUAUGACACAGUUCUGCAGGUCAGAAGUCCAAGUGGGUCUAAUGGGGCCACAAUCAAGGUGUCUCGGGGCUCUGGGGCAGAACCUGUUGUCUGGCCUCUCCAGCAUCUAGAGUGCCAUCCUCAAGGCCAGCGGCACAGCCUCUGCACACCUCUCCCUGCCUUCCCCCUCUCUCCAAAGGACUCUGUGAUCGCACGGGAUCCCCCAAGUGAUGAGGCCCGCUCCCCAUCUGCAGACCCUCAGUCACACCUGCGCACCCGUUCGGUUCAUGCAUUAGCAUGGGGAUGCCUUUAGGGGAGGGCACUGCUCUGUCACCAUGUCCCCCUUUCCUCCCCAAGAGACAGCAGGACCACAUCCCCUCUGUCCUCCACGAGAGGGAAACUAGGGCUUCAGCUGCCAUGACUCUGCUUCUGGUCUUCGGUGGAUCAUCAAGCACAAGGGGACAAAUGCUACACAAUGUGCCCAGGCAUGAAGACAUCCCCCAACACUGAGAUCACGUAAAAUUCUAGAGUCGACCAUGACACAACACCAAGGAAGUGGGGAAGCUUCUAGCAUGACCACCUAUGAAUUCCCACCACUCGGUAGGAGGAGGAUGGGGUGUAGACAAAAAGCAGCUUCUUCCUCACGACUGGGGAUGCAUUUCAUGGGCACGGCCAGGGCCUCUGUGCCAGGACUGCAGCCCCUGGCUUGUGCUGCCCUCACAGAGGGUACUGGGUAGAGUGGGGAUAAUCGUGGGAUGGGCUGCCGGGUCUUAGUGAGGGCCCCCUUUAUAUACAAGCCCCGAGCGCCCAGCAACCAGACCAACCAACAGCAAGAGCAGGUGGGCAAGCUGUGGCCCUUCUCCCCAGGUCAGCUGCAGCCUCAGCCUGGAGCCGCCCCUCUCCCCAGCUCCUGGAACAACGGUCCAGUGCCACAUCAGGAGGCCCAGGGAGCGCCCCGCUCCAGGCGCACAGCCCGGAGUCUGGUGAGGGCCAGGAGCAGGAGCGGGGGCUGAGCCCAGAGCACGCGGAGGCCUACAGGAGGACAUACAGAGGCCGCCACUACAGGCAUAGGUGCUGUUCUCGGAGGAGGCUAUGCCGGAUCCACAGAAGGUGGCACCCAUCCUGCCGAAGGCGCAGGAGAUGCAUCUGUAGGAGGCGACGUCGCCAAGGUUGCAGAAGAAGGAGAAGAUGCAGGAGGUACCACUAAACCUUCCCAGGCCCUGCCGGAAGCUAUGGAAAAGUCACCUGCCCAAGGAACAGGAGGCAAGGCCAUAACACCCCUCCCAUGUUGAUACCUCAACCCUGAGUUGCCAAGGAGCCCACAAGAUCUGAGCGAUGAGCACAGUCACCUGCCAAAUAAAGCUUGACAAAGAA